CCGAGUUUACAACUCCCAAACCCCUGUGAACUAUACCAUUUGUUGCCUCGGCGGCGUUCCGCUUCACGGCGGGCCCGCCAGAGGACCCAAACUCUUGUAUUUGAAUUGAGUCUUCUCUGAGUGAUACAAGCAAUAAAUUA
rnacentral:misc_RNA from 1 species